rnacentral:rRNA from 1 species
CCAUCCUCCAAGGCUAAAUACUCCUGACUGACCGAUAGUGAACCAGUACCGUGAGGGAAAGGCGAAAAGAACCCCGGCGAGGGGAGUGAAAAAGAACCUGAAACCGUGUACGUACAAGCAGUGGGAGCACGCUUAGGCGUGUGACUGCGUACCUUUUGUAUAAUGGGUCAGCGACUUAUAUUCUGUAGCAAGGUUAACCGAAUAGGGGAGCCGAAGGGAAACCGAGUCUUAACUGGGCGUUAAGUUGCAGGGUAUAGACCCGAAACCCGGUGAUCUAGCCAUGGGCAGGUUGAAGGUUGGGUAACACUAACUGGAGGACCGAACCGACUAAUGUUGAAAAAUUAGCGGAUGACUUGUGGCUGGGGGUGAAAGGCCAAUCAAACCGGGAGAUAGCUGGUUCUCCCCGAAAGCUAUUUAGGUAGCGCCUCGUGAAUUCAUCUCCGGGGGUAGAGCACUGUUUCGGCAAGGGGGUCAUCCCGACUUACCAACCCGAUGCAAACUGCGAAUACCGGAGAAUGUUAUCACGGGAGACACACGGCGGGUGCUAACGUCCGUCGUGAAGAGGGAAACAACCCAGACCGCCAGCUAAGGUCCCAAAGUCAUGGUUAAGUGGGAAACGAUGUGGGAAGGCCCAGACAGCCAGGAUGUUGGCUUAGAAGCAGCCAUCAUUUAAAGAAAGCGUAAUAGCUCACUGGUCGAGUCGGCCUGCGCGGAAGAUGUAACGGGGCUAAACCAUGCACCGAAGCUGCGGCAGCGACGCUUAUGCGUUGUUGGGUAGGGGAGCGUUCUGUAAGCCUGCGAAGGUGUGCUGUGAGGCAUGCUGGAGGUAUCAGAAGUGCGAAUGCUGACAUAAGUAACGAUAAAGCGGGUGAAAAGCCCGCUCGCCGGAAGACCAAGGGUUCCUGUCCAACGUUAAUCGGGGCAGGGUGAGUCGACCCCUAAGGCGAGGCCGAAAGGCGUAGUCGAUGGGAAACAGGUUAAUAUUCCUGUACUUGGUGUUACUGCGAAGGGGGGACGGAGAAGGCUAUGUUGGCCGGGCGACGGUUGUCCCGGUUUAAGCGUGUAGGCUGGUUUUCCAGGCAAAUCCGGAAAAUCAAGGCUGAGGCGUGAUGACGAGGCACUACGGUGCUGAAGCAACAAAUGCCCUGCUUCCAGGAAAAGCCUCUAAGCAUCAGGUAACAUCAAAUCGUACCCCAAACCGACACAGGUGGUCAGGUAGAGAAUACCAAGGCGCUUGAGAGAACUCGGGUGAAGGAACUAGGCAAAAUGGUGCCGUAACUUCGGGAGAAGGCACGCUGAUAUGUAGGUGAAGUCCCUUGCGGAUGGAGCUGAAAUCAGUCGAAGAUACCAGCUGGCUGCAACUGUUUAUUAAAAACACAGCACUGUGCAAACACGAAAGUGGACGUAUACGGUGUGACGCCUGCCCGGUGCCGGAAGGUUAAUUGAUGGGGUCAGCGCAAGCGAAGCUCUUGAUCGAAGCCCCGGUAAACGGCGGCCGUAACUAUAACGGUCCUAAGGUAGCGAAAUUCCUUGUCGGGUAAGUUCCGACCUGCACGAAUGGCGUAAUGAUGGCCAGGCUGUCUCCACCCGAGACUCAGUGAAAUUGAACUCGCUGUGAAGAUGCAGUGUACCCGCGGCAAGACGGAAAGACCCCGUGAACCUUUACUAUAGCUUGACACUGAACAUUGAGCCUUGAUGUGUAGGAUAGGUGGGAGGCUUUGAAGUGUGGACGCCAGUCUGCAUGGAGCCGGCCUUGAAAUACCACCCUUUAAUGUUUGAUGUUCUAACGUGGACCCGUGAUCCGGGUUGCGGACAGUGUCUGGUGGGUAGUUUGACUGGGGCGGUCUCCUCCUAAAGAGUAACGGAGGAGCACGAAGGUUGGCUAAUCCUGGUCGGACAUCAGGAGGUUAGUGCAAUGGCAUAAGCCAGCUUGACUGCGAGCGUGACGGCGCGAGCAGGUGCGAAAGCAGGUCAUAGUGAUCCGGUGGUUCUGAAUGGAAGGGCCAUCGCUCAACGGAUAAAAGGUACUCCGGGGAUAACAGGCUGAUACCGCCCAAGAGUUCAUAUCGACGGCGGUGUUUGGCACCUCGAUGUCGGCUCAUCACAUCCUGGGGCUGAAGUAGGUCCCAAGGGUAUGGCUGUUCGCCAUUUAAAGUGGUACGCGAGCUGGGUUUAGAACGUCGUGAGACAGUUCGGUCCCUAUCUGCCGUGGGCGCUGGAGAACUGAGGGGGGCUGCUCCUAGUACGAGAGGACCGGAGUGGACGCAUCACUGGUGUUCGGGUUGUCAUGCCAAUGGCACUGCCCGGUAGCUAAAUGCGGAAGAGAUAAGUGCUGAAAGCAUCUAAGCACGAAACUUGCCCCGAGAUGAGUUCUCCCUGACCCUUUAAGGGUCCUGAAGGAACGUUGAAGACGACGACGUUGAUAGGCCGGGUGUGUAAGCGCAGCGAUGCGUUGAGCUAACCGGUACUAAUGAACCGUGAGG